rnacentral:rRNA from 1 species
AACAACUAUAUUGUUUGUGUAGAAUGCAUUAGCCUCAUUGUAGGUGAAAUAACUAUACAACUUUCAACAACGGAUCUCUUGGCUCUCGCAUCGAUGAAGAACGCAGCGAAAUGCGAUAAGUAAUGUGAAUUGCAGAAUUCAGUGAAUCAUCGAAUCUUUGAACGCACCUUGCACUCCUUGGUAUUCCGAGGAGUAUGCCUGUUUGAGUGUCA